AGUUUUUCAUCUAUGAAUGAGACUGCUUUAUUGAAAGAGUCGCCAUGACAAUUCCACUUCUGAUGUUUGUUUUGCUGACUCUACCCUGCUACAAUGCUCAUGGGCAAGUCAAUCCUUUUGGAGUUCCAGUCUCUGCCCAUGCUGGGAAGUUCUAUGACACGU